rnacentral:lncRNA from 10 species
AAUAUUCCCCGUGUCACUUAGACCUGCAUGGUGAGGAUUUAAUUCAGAACCUUCCCUGAGCUGUAGAUUGGCUUUGCAGGAAUGUCCCCUCUUGGCCUCCUGCAGUCCUAACCUCUUGGUUAGCACUGUGUCAUUACAGCCUAUAGUGGAAAUCAAGUCCUCCUGUGGGUCUGAAGUUGGGUGUGUAGUUGGGUAUUGGUCUUUCCCGUGGGUCAAACAUUUGUUAAGUGCCUACUGUGUACUAGGCACUCGACAGUCACGUAAUGCUGUGUACCUUAUGUCUAUCAACCUGCAUUCACAACAACUCUGUGUGGUAGGUGUCAUUGGAUCUGCUGUACAGAUGCCAUCUUCAGUAGCUUGACUAUGGUCACCAGACAAGGUCAGCCUGGAAGACCUCCUGUGCAGUGUCUUCCUUUACACAAAGGCUCCAAAAUAGCAGAACUUUAAUCUUGAGCAUGCAUUUUUCCAUCUAGUUGCAGCUUUAGUCUGGAAAAAUAGGUCAUACCCAGAGGUGAUGGGUCCACUUGAAGAUUUUUAUUUUGGUCAUUUAUCACAUAUUAGCAACUGAGUUCUAUUCAGAUACAGGUAAUAUAAUUUCAUUACUUUUUAAUGACUGAUAUGGUUUGGCUCUGGGUCUCCACCCAAAUCUCAUGUUGAAUUGUAACGUUGGGAGAGGGAUCCAGUGAGAGGUGAUUGGAUUACGGGGGCAGACUUUUCCCUUGCUGUUCUUGUGAUAGUGAGUGUGUUCUCACAAGAUCUGGUUGUUUUAAAAGUGUAUAUCACUUCCCUUUUCACUCCCUCUCUCCUGCUGUGCCAUGUGAAGAUUGUGCCUGCUUCCCUUUCACCUUCCAUCAUGAUUGUAAGUUUCCUGAGGCCUCCCCAGCCAGGAUUCCUGUACAGCCUGUGGAACCAUGAGCCAGGUAAAAAUGGUGCUACCCUUGGAAAUCCAAGAGCAGCUUCA